rnacentral:rRNA from 1 species
GUGACAAGAAAUAACAAUACAGGACUUUUUGGUUUUGUAACUGGAAUGAGUUAAGUAUAAACCCCUUUACAAGUAUCAAUUGGAGGGCAAGUCUGGUGCCAGCAGCCGCGGUAAUUCCAGCUCCAAUAGCGUAUAUUAAAGUUGUUGCAGUUAAAAAGCUCGUAGUUGGAUUUCUGUUAAUAAUUUAUAUAAAAUAUUUUGAAUAUUUAUAUAACAUUAACAUAAUUCAUAUUACUAUAUUUUUUAGUAUAUGAAAUUUUACUUUGAGAAAAUUAGAGUGCUUAAAGCAGGCAUAUGCCUUGAAUACUCCAGCAUGGAAUAAUAUUAAAGAUUUUUAUCUUUCUUAUUGGUUCUAAGAUAAGAAUAAUGAUUAAUAGGGACAGUUGGGGGCAUUUGUAUUUAACAGUCAGAGGUGAAAUUCUUAGAUUUGUUAAAGACAAACUAAUGCGAAAGCAUU